rnacentral:rRNA from 1 species
UGGGGAAUUUUGGACAAUGGGCGCAAGCCUGAUCCAGCCAUGCCGCGUGCGGGAAGAAGGCCUUCGGGUUGUAAACCGCUUUUGUCAGGGAAGAAAUCUUCUGAGUUAAUACCUCGGGAGGAUGACGGUACCUGAAGAAUAAGCACCGGCUAACUACGUGCCAGCAGCCGCGGUAAUACGUAGGGUGCAAGCGUUAAUCGGAAUUACUGGGCGUAAAGCGUGCGCAGGCGGUUUUGUAAGACAGAGGUGAAAUCCCCGGGCUCAACCUGGGAACUGCCUUUGUGACUGCAAGGCUUGAGUGCGGCAGAGGGGGGAUGGAAUUCCGCGUGUAGCAGUGAAGUGCGUAGAUGUGCGGAGGAACACCGAUGGCGAAGGCAAUCCCCUGGGCCUGCACUGACGCUCAUGCACGAAAGCGUGGGGAGCAAACAGGAUUAGAUACCCUGGUAGUCCACGCCCUAAACGAUGUCAACUGGUUGUUGGGGAAGGUUCCUUCUCAGUAACGUAGCUAACGCGUGAAGUUGACCGCCUGGGGAGUACGGCCGCAAGGUUGAAACUCAAAUGAAUUGA